AAUGACAUUAAGAUUCGAUUUGAAUGUUCAAAAUAUGAUCCUAAAAUAGCAAAAAUUACAAUAGAAAGGUGCGGAGUCCAUGUAUCAUGCAUUUGUCCUCCUUGCAACUUCGCAGCAAAUGAGGAUGCUGACUUCAACCCAUGUCCACCAUUGAACAAAAUGAGAACCUCUUGAUUGAACUUCAAACAAAUAUGCCAAGUUGUGGUGAUGAAAAUUCUUUAGGAGGCAUGAGAGGAAGCACAUCAAGUAUUUG